rnacentral:sRNA from 1 species
UAGAAUGUAUUUGUAUGUAUGUAAAUAUUUAUAUGUAUAUAUGCCCUAGCUCUGAGAUAAUAACAAUGAAUAGACAUAGUGCCCAGAUCUUGACUUGGGACAUCCAUCUGCCACUUAAAGGAAUCAGGGGUCUUUGGAGAAAUGGGGCUGGGAAAAUGCAAGAUGAGCCCAGAACAUCUUAUUAUGCCAGAAAGUAAAGAAGUGAUUAACAAAGGUUGAGGCCAUGUCAGAAGAACAUAGGAGCCAGCAUAAAGAGGCCCCAAGUGAUCAAAUACGAGACACUUUAAGCAUCAAAAUAAGUAAUGAUAGUAGUGGAUUAUUAUGCACUUAAUAAAAUGUGAAAUUGUGUCUAUCGUGGUAUAAAUAAAUAAGUAAAAGUUUAUUGAGAAAUGGAAUUGCUUACAGGCACCUCUCCAUAAAAUUUUUGUUAAUUACAAAAGCAAAAAGUAACUUUACAGUGGAGAAUCCUGGCAUAUGCUACCUAAAUCAAGCAAUCAAAGUGAACAUAAUGAAAUAAAUAAAAAUCAUGUUCUUCCUGAUAGGAUACAAUGAGAAAAACACAGCAUUAUGUCUGUGAUAUUCCUGCUAAAGAUGCAUAACCUGAAUCUAAUCAUCCUGAAAUAGACAAACUCAAACUGAGGGACAUACCACACAGUAACUAGCCUUGACACCUUUAAAGGUGCCAAGAUCAUGAAAGUCAAAGACUGAGGAAGUAUUCCAGAAUGAAGGAGACCAAAGGGAAAUGAAAAAUAAAGGCAAUGUAUGAUUCUGAAUUACAUCCUUUUGCUAUAAAGGAUAUUAUUAAGACAUUUGGUGAAAUGUCAGUGGGGUCUGAGGAUUAGUUGUUAGUAAUGUAUCAGUGUUAAUUUCCUGGUUUUGAUGGUUAUAGUCAUGUCGGAGAAUGUUCUUGAUUGUUGAUUGUAGGAAGUGCACAGUCAAGUAUUUGGGGAUGAUGGGGUAUUAGGUUGGCAGCUUGCUGUCAAAUGAUUCAGGUAAAAAAAGAUUUUUUUACUCUCAACUUUUCUGUAAAUUUAGAUUGUUUCACACUUUUAAAAAUAUGGUAUAUCUCGGUUACCCUCUGUAUGCCAAACACUGAGCAGGUACUAAAAAUAGAAAGGUAGAGUAACAUGAGUCCUUAUAUCAUUCUUGAUGAUACCUGAGUCUAAUGGAGGGUACAGAUAUGUAAGUGAAUAAUUACAAUGCAGUCUGAUCUGGGUUAUACUAUGAAUAUAUACAAAGUACUAUAGGAAAUAAAUUAUGACAAAUGAACUAGGUUUAUUAUUUUGACAAGUUUUUUGGAAUGACAUUUAGGUAGGGUAAUGUAGAAGAAAAUAAGGGCAUGAAUCGGAAAAAUGAUAGGUUAACUAAUUGUCAAGUUUUAGAGUAGUGAAAAAAUCAUCCCUUUAAAAAGAGAUGCAGCAUAGUAUAACAUAAAGAAACCAUAUUUAAGUCAGAAGAACUGUUUAGGACUUGGUUUUACCAUGCGUUAGCGCUGGUGAUCUUGAGAAGUCUAGCUAAUUUAUUUGAGCUUCAGUUUUGACUUUUUAAUAAAGUUCCUGGCUCUCGAAGCUCAUAGGUUAUUGUUAAUAUUUGUACUGAUUCCUUAUACCUAAUUGUAGUGACUGUUUAACUUGUAUAAUAAGAUGAAUUGGUAGAGAGCUUGUAGUGACAGUUGAAUAAAUGUAAACCUCUGCUUAUAAUGCUCUUUGUAGUAGAACAUACUGUAAUUGUUCAUUGCUGAAUGUAAUGCUCCAUUUACUUCAUUGCUUUACUGUUGUAGUCUUUAUCAUUUUGUUUUUCUGUUUAUAGAUCUGUUGGGAGAACGUUUUGCACAAUGGAUGGUCGUGGAAGCCCAGUUCACAUUCAUCCUUCCUCAGCACUUCAUGAACAGGAAACCAAACUUGAAUGGAUCAUUUUUCAUGAGGUGUUGGUUACCACCAAAGUCUACGCAAGAAUUGUAUGCCCAAUCCGUUAUGAAUGGGUAAGAGACUUGUUACCCAAGUUGCAUGAAUUUAAUGCACAUGAUUUGAGCAGUGUGGCCCGACGUGAAGUGAGAGAAGAUGCAAGAAGGAGAUGGACAAAUAAGGAAAAUGUAAAGCAGCUAAAGGAUGGAAUAUCGAAAGACGUCUUAAAGAAAAUGCAAAGAAGAAAUGAUGACAAAUCCAUAUCUGAUGCACGGGCUCGUUUCCUUGAGAGGAAGCAGCAGAGGACCCAGGACCACAGUGACACACGGAAGGAAACAGGCUAAGGUGGUGAACCCUCCAAUUCAGGAAGUAGGAAAAGCAGCCAGGAAACGUGCUUCUACUUUGCCAGUUAUUUCAGACAGCACUACCAAGAGGAAGUGGUCAGCACUUGUUAUUGGCCUAUGAACUAAAAGCAAAUCAAAGCUCAUAAAUCAAAGCUCAUCAGUUCCCGUAAAUGCAAUUGUCAAAGAAAAGAUUGGGUUGCCAUAGUCAUAAGCAAUGAUACAUGAAACCAAUGAAAGACAGUACAUGUGAUAUUUUCCUCAGUACAACUUUGCUGGCCUUAACUGGUAUCAAACGCUGUCAUUGAGAUGUUUUCAAAGAACAUUGAGUUGUAUUUAAUCAGCGUGUACUCCAUUUGCAUUGAAGCAUUAAAAAUUAUUUUCCUU